rnacentral:rRNA from 1 species
CCUACGGGAGGCAGCAGUGAGGAAUAUUGGUCAAUGGACGAGAGUCUGAACCAGCCAAGUAGCGUGAAGGAUGACUGCCCUAUGGGUUGUAAACUUCUUUUAUAUGGGAAUAAAAUGUUCCACGUGUGGGAUUUUGUAUGUACCAUAUGAAUAAGGAUCGGCUAACUCCGUGCCAGCAGCCGCGGUAAUACGGAGGAUCCGAGCGUUAUCCGGAUUUAUUUGGUUUAAAGGGAGCGUAGGUGGAUUGUUAAGUCAGUUGUGAAAGUUUGCGGCUCAACUGUAAAAUUGCAGUUGAAACUGGCAGUCUUGAGUACAGUAGAGGUGGGCGGAAUUCGUGGUGUAGCGGUGAAAUGCUUAGAUAUCACGAAGAACUCCGAUUGCGAAGGCAGCUCACUGGACUGCAACUGACACUGAGGCUCGAAAGUGUGGGUAUCAAACAGGAUUAGAUACCCCUGUAGUC